UUUCUCCACCACAUGCGUUUUCCGUGGGCUUUCCUGCAAACGUCCACUAUUUGACAUUUGAGAAAGUGGGAAAAUGUUUUGUUAGUCUUUUAUUCACCAUUGGAAGAAGGCUUGAUCCAGCCAGAUUCACACACCUGAGAUGAACCCCAGGCCCCAGCAGCUAUGAAAUCGUUCAGGAAUGUAGACUUAUAAGUAAGCAAUUAAAAGAGGCUCUGGAGUCCUGUAAGGCAUGUGGCAUUCAUACCAGGCAACAGACUGCACUUUGUCAGCAUCAAGGUGGGCUGCCAGUGAGGAGACCUCAGACCUCGAGCAGACUUCUGGGCAGAAGACCCCAGAAGAAGAACACAAGGAGCUCUUGAUCUGAAGGAACUGGUGGAGGAAUUCAGAGUGACAAGAAGAGCUGCUUCUGCGCAGGAGGGCUGGUCUGAGCGCAGUGAUUAAGCCCCCGUGGAAUUCGCCUGUAAGCAUAGUGGGGGGUAACUGGUAUUCACUUAGUGUGGGGUUUUUAAUAAAUCAAUGAAUGAAUGAGCAAUUUCAUUUAUGUUAAAUCUCUGCCAGAACCUAGCACUCUAUACCUGAGCCAGAUCUGCAGAGGAGGUUCUGGAUCUGACAGUCAGCAACCUCACAAUGUUCAAGGUCUUCAAAUACCUCCUUAAGUUUGACCAACAAUUCUAGGAAGUGACCAGCAAAGGUCCCCCCAACCCAACAUAUUAACCACAUCAAGGACAGGUUUGUGAAGCAGUUAAUUACAACCCCCAACCUCAGGCAGUCAGUGGAGAAGCCUGCGGCUGAAGCCCCAGCUUCAGCUGUACGUGAGCUAGGAUACUGGGCAGGGUCUCGUGUGUCUUGCUCUUGAAAAUGUACCUGAGAGACAGCUUGGCUAGGAAUGCUUCCAUUUGGGGGGCCUGGUUCCAGGCUGAACAGAAGCUUUUCCUUCAUCAGGUGAAGGCCCAUGUCUUGAGGGUGGGAGCCUUCUCUUCGGGCUGACGGGCCAGCAUUCCCAGUGCACUGUCCUUACUGCAAAAUCGGGCUGCUUG